rnacentral:lncRNA from 1 species
AGCAGGAUGUGGGUGGGGCCAAAUAAGGGAAUAAAACCUGGCCACCCGAAUCCGCAGCGGUCACUGGCUCUGGUCCCUUUCUUAACUGUGGGAGGUUAUUUGUUUUGCUCUUCGCAGUGAAUCUUGCUGCUGAUCGUGUUUGGGUCUUCACUACCUUUAAAAGUUGGAACACUCACUGUGAAGGUUUGUGGCUUUACUCCUGAAGCCAGCAAGACCACGAACCCACUAGAAGGAGGAAACUCCAGGCACGUCUGAACAUCUGAAGGAGCAAACUCUGGACACACCAUCUUUGAGGAAACUGUAACAUUCACUGCGUGGGUCCACAGCUUCAUUCUUGGAGUCAGCGAGACCGAGAACACACCAGAAGGAACCACUUCUGGACACACCAGCACUUUGGGAGGCUGAGGCAGGUGGAUCACCUCAGGUCAGGAGUUCAAGACAAGCUUGCUCAAUAUACUGAAACCCCGUCUUAACUAGAAAUACAAAAAAUUAGCUGGGCAUGGUGGCAGGCGCCUGUAGUCCCAGCUACUCAGGAGGCUGAGGCAGGAGAAUCGCUUGAAGCCAGGAGGCGGAGGUUGCCGUGAGCGGAGAUCGUGCCAUUUCACUCCAGCCUAGGCAACAACAGCAAAACUCCAUCUUAAAAAAAAAAAAGGACCCUGCAGGGAAAGAUCAGUCUACCAAUGCAGGAUGCCAAAUUGACAGGAGAUUCUAUAAAUAGGUGUAUUUCAAUACCUUUAUAAAUCUGAGGAAUAGUGUACCAUUUCAUUUUAUACAUUGACCAAUAGAUUUUUUUUUGCAUUGUUGGCAGAUUGAACUUAGUAAAUAUUUUUGCUUUUAGCAUGGACCUUAAAUCACAAACCACAAAAUACACAGUUCUGUCGUGCGCACUGUUUCCAAAGGGAGAGAAAAUUACCUGCCCAGUCUAAGGUAGUUUAACUUCUGAAAGCGUAGGAAGGUUUAUGUUGACUUGUUUGUUUUUCUUUUGGUGCAAGUUUCACUCCAUCCUUAGUAAUUGCUUUUGGAAAAGACACUUUAACAGAAAAGUAAACUGUUAUACCUGGAAGAUUGAUUAUACGUUUUCUUCCAUUUCUCUGUCCUUAUUAAUUUUCUGUGACAUUUGUGAAAGUCAAUAUAUUGUUCAUUUUUUAUGACGACAUGAAGAAAAUGCUCAGCCGUGAGAACCUUUAAAAAACAAAUGAGGCCGGGCAAGGUGGCUCAUGCCUGUAAUACUAGCACUUUGGGAGGCCGAGGUGGGUGCAUCACGAGGUCAGGAGAUGGAGUCCAUCCUGGCUAACACAGUGAAACCCCGUCUCUACUAAAAAUACAAAAAACUAGCUAGGCGUGGUGGGGGUGCCUGUAGUCGCACCCACUCGCGAGGCUGAGGCAGGAGAAUGGUGUGAACCCAGGAGGCGGAGCUUGCAGUGAGCUGAGAUCGCGCCACUGCACUCCAGCCUGGGUGACAGAGCGAGACUCCUUUUUACAAACAGGGACUCCCUGUCCCGAGUCAAUUGAACAUGUUUAGCCCGAAUAUUUUCUAAUAUGUAUAUGGGUAUUUUAAAGUCUUUUUCUUUCAUUGUGAAUGUUACAUAUGGUUAUUUUUGAAAAUGUAGAAAUUGAAAAAAGAUUUAGGAAGAAAAUAAAAACCAUUAGUAAUUUCUCCAUCCAGAUAUAACCAUUAUUAAUUUUUUUUUUUGCAAUCACUGAUAAAUUAUAUGCUGGUAUGUGCAUAGUAUAUAUGUUCUCUUUGUUGGACACAGUGAUAGCAUUUUCACACAAUUCUACAUUUAUUUUAAUUUACCAAUAUAUCAUGUAGUCACCCUAUAUCAGCAUAUGUAGAGCUACUUUGUUCUUUUUAGAGGCUGUGCAGUGUUCUGUUGUAUUGUCCCUGAAGGUGUUUAGUGUUCUAUUGAUGCCUAUUUAAGUUGUUUUAAAUGUUUCGUUAUUUAAAAUGGGGCACUGAAUAUCCCCGAAUGAUACAAUUUUAUCCACAUGAGUGUAUUUGUAAGAGAAAGUUCUAGAAGCAGAAUGCAGGGUCAGAGAAUGUGCAUUUGUAAGUUUGAUAGAUUGCUCUCCAGAGAGGUUGUAGCAAUGAAUACUUCCAUCAGCAAAGUUUCAAACUGUCUGCUUUCCCACACACUCAUGCUAUCAAACACUUUGGACCUUGUCAUUCCAAUAGGUGAUACUUGUUAUAUCAUUUAAUUUGCAUUUCUCAUUAUGAAAGAGUUUGAACAUCUCUUCCUGUGUUUAAAAACUAUUUUAAUUUCAUUUUCUUUGUAUUCACUCUUCAAUCUCUUAGCCAUUUUUCUAUAUUUUCUGUCAUAUUUUUAACAUUUACUUUUAGGCACCUUUUAAAGAGUAAAGAACAUAGCCCUUUGACUCUAAUGUGCUUGCAAAUUGUUUUUUCCUUUCCAUUUUGUAAUGAGUGUUUUUAAUAUUAAUGAUGUUCUCCCCC